rnacentral:rRNA from 1 species
GUCNAACGGUAGAGAUCUUUCGGGAUCUUGAGAGUGGCGAACGGGNNNGUAACGCGUAGGUUAUCUACCCUCAAAUUGGGGACAACCCAGGGAAACUUGGGCUAAUACCGAAUGAGAGCAUCUUCGGAUGUUUAAAAGAUGGCAGUAAUGCUGUUGUUUGAGGAUGAGCCUGCGUCCCAUUAGUUAGUUGGUAAGGUAAUGGCUUACCAAGGCGAUGAUAGGUAGGCGGCCUUAACGGGUGGUCGCCCACACUGGGAUUGAGAUACGGCCCAGACUCCUACGGGAGGCAGCAGUCGAGAAUAGUCUACAAUGGCCGAAAGGCUGAUAGUGCGACGCCGCGUGAACGAAGAAGCCCUUCGGGGUGUAAAGUUCUUUUAUAUGUGAGCAAUGCCUUUUAUGUGAAUAGCAUGAGAGGAGCGAUAUUAGCAUAUGAAUAAGCAACGGCUAACUCCGUGCCAGCAGCCGCGGUAACACGGGGGUUGCAAGCGUUGUCCGGAAUUACUAGGCGUAAAGGGCAGGUAGGCGGAUAGAUAAGUUUUUUGUCAAAGGCGACGGCUCACCCGUCGUAAGGCAGGAGAUACUGUUUAUCUGGAAUGCGGUUGGGGAAGACAGAAUUCCUGGUGUAGCGGUGGAAUGCGCAGAGAUCAGGAGGAAUACCGAAGGCGAAGGCAGUCUUCUAAGCCGUUAUUGACGCUAAACUGCGAAGGUGUGGGUAUCAAACAGGAUUAGAUACCCUGGUAGUCCACACAGUAAACGAUAAUCACUAGGUGUCGGUGUCGU